AACGUAGGACGCGAGCGUUAUCCGGAGUUAUUGGGCGUAAAGCGUCCGUAGGUGGCGUGUCAAGUCUGCGGUCAAAGACUGGGGCUUAACCCUGGAAAGGCCGUGGAAACUGACGAGCUAGAGUGCAGUAGGGGUAGAGGGAAUUCCCGGUGUAGCGGUGAAAUGCGUAGAGCUCGGGAAGAGCAUCGGUGGCGAAAGCGCUCUACUGGACUGCAACUGACACUCAGGGACGAAAGCUAGGGGAGCGAAUGGG
rnacentral:rRNA from 1 species